rnacentral:rRNA from 1 species
AACGUAGGAGACAAACGUUAUCCGGAGUUACUGGGCGUAAAGGGCGUGCAGGUGGUCUGUUAAGUCUGGCGUGAAAGCUCCUGGCUAAACCGGGAGAGGUCGUUGGAUACUGGCGGACUAGAGGACGGUAGGGGCGUGUGGAAUUCCGGGUGUAGUGGUGAAAUGCGUAGAGAUCCGGAGGAACACCAGUGGCGAAGGCGACACGCUGGGCCGUACCUGACACUGAUACGCGACAGCAUGGGGAGCGAACGGG